rfam:Oryza meridionalis cultivar OR44 (W2112) chromosome 6, whole genome shotgun sequence.
AGUAAGAGUUUUGCACUAUUCAUAUUUAACGCUUAACCGUUUGUCUUAUUUGAAUUUUUUUAUAAUUAUUAUUUAUUAUUAUUAGAUUAUAAAAUAUGAAUAGUACUUUAUAUAUGAUUAUUUUUUUAAAAAAAUUUUAUAAAAUUUUCAAAUAAGAAGGACAAUCAAACAUUGAACAUGAAUACUCACGGCUACACUUAUU